UCAAAUCAAGACUCAUCUCAACAAAGUUCACAAGAUUCUGGAUCCUUCACCAAGGCAAUGUAAUCAAGGCCACCAUGAUUUGAACUUAAAGGUGGAAUCAAGAGGAUUCGGUUAUCUCAGAGUGAGCCGUCUACCAAAGGAAGAGGAAGAGGGAAAAGAAAAUGACCCCUGCCCGGUCUGUUUGUUAUGGAUGAAGUCAGCUGACUUUUCAAGACACAAAAAGGUCUGCGGAGACACAGAAAACUUUAGAUGUGCUAAGAGUUUCGGCAAAUCCUUAAAAGCUAUUGCGACUGCAGGGCUUAAAUCCAAUAAUGGUGGACUGCUGUUUAAAAA